UGCCAUGCCAGCGUGAGGGCUGUGUGUGGGCAGAGCAGCUUGCGGGACAAGGAGUCCCCGGGGUGUUUUCACCUGCUGUAACCUCAGCCUUUGCUGUCUCACUUAAACCUCUGCUUUUGGAUCUUCAGAGAAACCUUUGCAGCGAAGUCGGGUGGCACUGAAGUCGCAGCUGUGGAGGCAGCAGGAACGGCAGGGAUGUGGGACUUUCCCUGCACAGUACACCACAGCCACCUUCUAGUUGGUUUGCAGGAAAUCAGGGAAGAGAGAUGCAGACUGAAUAACAGCACUCUGCAGUGGGAGAAGUGGGAGAAACUAAGCUACAUCCUGCAAGACUGA
rnacentral:lncRNA from 1 species